GAAAGUCUUUUCAAUGUGAUUUGUUCUUAUCUUCUUCACUGUGGGGUUCUGUAUGAAAAAAUUCAGACUAAAUGCACUUGAUUUUUUAGGGUCAGCUAACUAAUGGAAAGAAGGUUGCUGUAAAAAGGCUAUCAAAAAAUUCAGGGCAGGGCAUAGAAGAAUUUAAAAAUGAAGCUAUGUUGAUUGCCAAGCUUCAACAUAGGAAUCUUGUGAAACUUCUAGGAUGUUGCAUUCAGGGAGAAG
rnacentral:misc_RNA from 1 species